rnacentral:snRNA from 1 species
AACGAAAUGACUAAACAGGA